rnacentral:rRNA from 1 species
UGACUGCGUACCUUUUGUAUAAUGGGUCAGCGACUUAUAUUUAGUAGCAAGGUUAAGUGAAUAACGGAGCCGUAGCGAAAGCGAGUGUUAACUGCGCGUUGAGUUGCUAGGUAUAGACCCGAAACCCGGUGAUCUAGCCAUGGGCAGGUUGAAGGUUGAGUAACAUCAACUGGAGGACCGAACCCACUAACGUUGAAAAGUUAGGGGAUGACUUGUGGCUGGGGGUGAAAGGCCAAUCAAACCGGGAGAUAGCUGGUUCUCCCCGAAAUCUAUUUAGGUAGAGCCUCGGACGAACACCAUUGGGGGUAGAGCACUGUUAAGGCUAGGGGGUCAUCCCGACUUACCAACCCUUUGCAAACUCCGAAUACCGAUGAGUGCUAUCCGGGAGACACACGGCGGGUGCUAACGUCCGUCGUGAAGAGGGAAACAACCCAGACCGCCAGCUAAGGUCCCAAAAUAUUGCUAAGUGGGAAACGAUGUGGGAAGGCUAAGACAGCUAGGAGGUUGGCUUAGAAGCAGCCACCCUUUAAAGAAAGCGUAAUAGCUCACUAGUCGAGUCGGCCUGCGCGGAAGAUGUAACGGGGCUAAGCAAUAUACCGAAGCUGCGGAUUUGAACUUAGGUUCAAGUGGUAGGGGAGCGUUGUGUAAGUGGUUGAAGCUCAAUUGAGAAGUUGGGUGGACAUAUCACAAGUGCGAAUGCUGACAUGAGUAACGAUAAUGGGGGUGAAAAACCCCCACGCCGGAAGACCAAGGUUUCCUGUCCCAUGCUAAUCAGGGCAGGGUAAGUCGGCCCCUAAGGCGAGGCAGAAAUGCGUAGUCGAUGGGAAACGGAUUAAUAUUUCCGUACUUGUAUAAUCAGUGAUGGGAGGACGGAGAAGGCUAGGCAAGCCUGGCGUUGGUAGUCCAGGUGAAAGUGCGUAGGCUGAGUGUUUAGGUAAAUCCGGAC